rnacentral:rRNA from 1 species
GUUAUCACGGGAGACACACGGCGGGUGCUAACGUCCGUCGUGAAGAGGGAAACAACCCAGACCGCCAGCUAAGGUCCCAAAGUCAUGGUUAAGUGGGAAACGAUGUGGGAAGGCCCAGACAGCCAGGAUGUUGGCUUAGAAGCAGCCAUCAUUUAAAGAAAGCGUAAUAGCUCACUGGUCGAGUCGGCCUGCGCGGAAGAUGUAACGGGGCUAAACCAUGCACCGAAGCUGCGGCAGCGAACGUAUCACCCAAGACAACUUUACGGAGUUGACGAUUGACGGAGCGAAGCGACGUCAAAGCGUUCAUUAAAGUCGAGUUGGCUUAGGGAUACGUUCGUUGGGUAGGGGAGCGUUCUGUAAGCCUGUGAAGGUGUGUCGUGAGGCAUGCUGGAGGUAUCAGAAGUGCGAAUGCUGACAUAAGUAACGAUAAAGCGGGUGAAAAGCCCGCUCGCCGGAAGACCAAGGGUUCCUGUCCAACGUUAAUCGGGGCAGGGUGAGUCGACCCCUAAGGCGAGGCCGAAAGGCGUAGUCGAUGGGAAACGGGUUAAUAUUCCCGUACUUGGUGUUACUGCGAAGGGGGGACGGAGAAGGCUAUGUUGGCCGGGCGACGGUUGUCCCGGUUUAAGCGUGUAGGUGUGUGUUCCAGGUAAAUCCGGUUCACUUUAACACUGAGGCGUGACGACGAGGCACUACGGUGCUGAAGCAACAAAUGCCCUGCUUCCAGGAAAAGCCUCUAAGCAUCAGGUAACACGAAAUCGUACCCCAAACCGACACAGGUGGUCAGGUAGAGAAUACCAAGGCGCUUGAGAGAACUCGGGUGAAGGAACUAGGCAAAAUGGUGCCGUAACUUCGGGAGAAGGCACGCUGACACGUAGGUGAAGUGAUUUACUCAUGGAGCUGAAGUCAGUCGAAGAUACCAGCUGGCUGCAACUGUUUAUUAAAAACACAGCACUGUGCAAACACGAAAGUGGACGUAUACGGUGUGACGCCUGCCCGGUGCCGGAAGGUUAAUUGAUGGGGUCAGCGUAAGCGAAGCUCCUGAUCGAAGCCCCGGUAAACGGCGGCCGUAACUAUAACGGUCCUAAGGUAGCGAAAUUCCUUGUCGGGUAAGUUCCGACCUGCACGAAUGGCGUAAUGAUGGCCAGGCUGUCUCCACCCGAGACUCAGUGAAAUUGAACUCGCUGUGAAGAUGCAGUGUACCCGCGGCAAGACGGAAAGACCCCGUGAACCUUUACUAUAGCUUGACACUGAACAUUGAGCCUUGAUGUGUAGGAUAG